rnacentral:rRNA from 1 species
AAGUAGGGGAUCGCAAGACCUUAUGCUUUUGGAGCGGCCGAUGUCUGAUUAGCUAGUUGGUAAGGUAAUGGCUUACCAAGGCAACGAUCAGUAGUUGGUCUGAGAGGACGACCAGCCACACUGGGACUGAGACACGGCCCAGACUCCUACGGGAGGCAGCAGUGGGGAAUUUUGGACAAUGGGCGCAAGCCUGAUCCAGCAAUGCCGCGUGAGUGAAGAAGGCCUUCGGGUUGUAAAGCUCUUUCAGUCGAGAAGAAAAGACCGUGACUAAUAAUCACGGUUCAU